rnacentral:rRNA from 1 species
CCCCACUAUGCCCAGCCGUAAACUCUUAUUUACAUCUAAAUCGCCAGGGAACUACGAGCAAAGCUUAAAACCCAAAGGACUUGACGGUACCCCAUAUCCACCUAGAGGAGCCUGUCCUAUAAUCGAUAAUCCACGUUCAACCUCACCAUUUCUAGCCUAUCAGCCUGUAUACCUCCGUCCUCAGCCUACCCCGUGAGUGUAACCUAGUAAGCUUAAUGCCCCUACGCCAACACGUCAGGUCAAGGUGCAGCAAAUGAAAUGGAAAGAGAUGGGCUACACUCUCUAACUUAGAAAAUACGAAAGACUACCUAUGAAACCUAGUCGGAAGGCGGAUUUAGAAGUAAAAAGAAAAUAGCAUAUUCUUUUUAACCCGGCACUGGGGUGUGUACACACCGCCCG